rnacentral:rRNA from 1 species
UACGUAGGCAGCAAGCGUUGUUCGGAAUUACUGGGCGUAAAGAGUGUGUAGGCGGUGCUCCAAGUCUGGUGUGAAAUCUCCCGGCUUAACUGGGAGGGUGCAUUGGAAACUGGAAUGCUAGAGGAUGGGAGAGGUAAGCGGAAUUCCUGGUGUAGCGGUGAAAUGCGUAGAUAUCGGGAGGAACACCUGUGGCGAAAGCGGCGCACUGGACCAUAACUGACGCUGAGGCGCGAAAGCUAGGGGAGCAAACAGG